UAAAUAAUGAUGCAUGUUAUAUUUAAAGAGGAUUAUUUUUGUUCGGUUAGUUAGUAGGUGGCAACACUUUUACUUAACAGUGUUGAGCAAGGAUAGUAACACAAUGUAUGCAGCAACUGCAUGCGAGGAGGAAACACACAUGGAACAAGGUAAAGUAAAAUGGUUUAACUCAGAAAAAGGAUUCGGAUUUAUCGAACGCGAAGGCGGAGACGACGUAUUCGUACACUUCUCAGCUAUCCAAAGCGAAGGUUUCAAAUCUCUUGACGAAGGUCAAGAAGUAACUUUUGAAAUCGAGCAAGGCCAACGUGGUCUUCAAGCUACUAACGUAGUUAAAGCUUAAUUUUAAACCUAAAACUUUAACAGACUCUCUAUUAGGGAGUCUGUUUUU
rnacentral:other from 1 species